UGGCCAGACUCCUACGGGAGGCAGCAGUGAGGAAUAUUGGUCAAUGGUCGGGAGACUGAACCAGCCAAGCCGCGUGAGGGAGGAAGGUACAGAGUAUCGUAAACCUCUUUUGUCAGGGAACAAAGACUGGGACGCGUCCCCGGAUGAGUGUACCUGAAGAAAAAGCAUCGGCUAACUCCGUGCCAGCAGCCGCGGUAAUACGGAGGAUGCGAGCGUUAUCCGGAUUUAUUGGGUUUAAAGGGUGCGCAGGCGGGCUGUUAAGCCGGCGGUAAAAAUUCAGGGCUCAACCCUGUCGAGCCGUCGGAACUGGCAGUCUUGAGUGGGCGAGAAGUAUGCGGAAUGCGUGGUGUAGCGGUGAAAUGCAUAGAUAUCACGCAGAACGCCGAUUGCGAAGGCAGCAUACCGGCGCCCAACUGACGCUGAGGCACGAAAGCGUGGGGAUCGAACAGGAUUAGAUACCCGUGUAUA
rnacentral:rRNA from 1 species